UACGAAGGGGACUAGCGUUGUUCGGAAUCACUGGGCGUAAAGCGCACGUAGGCGGAUAUGUCAGUCAGGGGUGAAAUCCCGGGGCUCAACCUCGGAACUGCCCUUGAUACAGCAUAUCUUGAGUCCGAUAGAGGUGGGUGGAAUUCCGAGUGUAGAGGUGAAAUUCGUAGAUAUCGGAAGGAACACCAGUGGCGAAAGCGGCUUCCUGGUCCAGCACCGGACGUUCAGGCACGAAAGCGUGGGGAGCAAACAGG
rnacentral:rRNA from 1 species